UCGAGCGUCAUUACAACCCUCAAGCUCUGCUUGGUAUUGGGCCUCCGCCUCCCCGGCGGGCCUUAAAAUCAGUGGCGGUGUCAUCUGACUCUAAGCGUAGUAAUUUUUCUCGCUCUGGAUAUCAGUUGGUCACUUGCCAUCGAACCCCAAAUUCUUAAAAGGUUGACCUCGGAUCAGGUAGGGAUACCCGCUGAACUUAA
rnacentral:misc_RNA from 1 species